GCCACCAUCUGGAUGAAUCGCCACACAAUUAUGCUGAGUUAAAAAAAAAUCCAAGUCCCAGAGGAAGUGACUCCAUUUAUAUGACAUUCUUGAAAUGGCAAAACUACUGAGGGGGCGAAUGAUCUAGUGGUUGCCAGGGGCUAAGGGGGGGUUGAGGGACGAGGGAAGUUGGUAUGACUAUAAAAGGGCAACAUAACUGAUCUUUGUGGUGAUGAACACGUUCUCUGUCUUUACUGUGUCAAUGUUAGUAUCCCGAUUAUGAUAUUUGGUAUAGUUUUUCAAGAUGUUGCCAUCGGGGGAAUCUGCGUAAAAGCAAAGGAAAGGCUACAUUCCGUGGACCCCAUUGAGUCUAAGUGGGCCGAUGUGACUUUCUGGCUGAUGGUAUCCACCACAAGUGAAGUACACCACAUUCAGAACUGGCCGUUAAACAUCCUUCACAAUCAGCCACCGUCUUUCUCCUCCAUCCCUAUGGCUAAGAAGAUGGCAGAGCUGUACAGUGUAAGAAGCCCAGAUGAAUGAGUACACUGCUUGGAGGAGACCCACCCGGGAAAGCCUCCUGACCUGGAAGAUCUGCAUUGGACACUGCAGGAGCCAGAAAGAAACCUGCACUGGAUUAAGCCACUGUGAUUUGUGUGUUUAUUUAUUCCUACAGUAUAGUUUAGCCUACUCUGACUAAUACAGAUGCUUAAAAAGACCCCCAAAAAUGAUAGCAACUCAAGCAGCGAAAACCAGAACUGGCACUUUAAUUGCCAAAAUCUGGGAGAAAUUGCCACUAUUUGCAAAGCCUUUAUAAUUGGAUUGAGAAAUAUAACCAGUGACCCAUGAAUGCGUUGGCACUGGGUUGCAGAAAACCCGAUGGCUGAAAAGAAGGUGGAAAGAUGCUUUGCCCCUCCCCACUGUCUGCCCUGGCUCAGACAUGCAGAGACACUGCCAGCCAGAAAAUGGGGCUGCCCGUCCUCUGCUCCUCCGUGAGGCUUUCUGCAGGUGCCGCUCCCUACUCUGCCACGUCUACCCCAUCCUCGCCAGAUUUAAGUAAAAGAGCAUUAUUGUCUGCUCUGAGUAUGGUGUCUAUUGUUUCUGUCCACAUUUUUAUACUUUUACUCAUGUGCAUUUGUCCAAAAGUAAUACAUCUAUAGUAGUGAGGGGUGUUUUAGAAGAUUUACCUAAAUACUAGCCUAUCCUGUGACUCCUUCUGCAACUUAUUUUUUCAUUUAGCACUAUGUUUUCUAUAUUUGUUCAUAUUGAUACUUUCAAUAGUUUAUUCGUGUUAACUGCUAUGUAUAUUCAAUAUAUCACAAUUUUUAUCCUUUCCUCUUUUAAUAUGUUGCAUAUACCUUUUGACUAUUGCAAGUAAUACUCCAAAGGGUGUUGUUAGUGAAGGUCUCUGUAUGCAUAUUUAUGAGCAUUCUCUAGGGCUUAUAUCUAAGAGUAGGGAUCUUCCAUUAUACUAGAUAGAGUCAAAUUGCUCUCAUUGUGGUAUACCAAUUUAUAUUGCCAUCAGCAGGAUAUGAAUUUCUAUUUCCCCUCACCCUCAAUAAUACUUAAUAUUUUCAGAUUUUUGAUGAGUAUGAGAUGCUCAUUUUGAAUAAUCUCAUUUUUUAAUUUUUAGUUUCCUAUCAGUGAAGCUGAGCAUUUUUUCAUAUGCUUGUUAGCCACUCAGAUUCUAACUCUGUGAAUCAAUUUGCUCCUGUCUCCUGUCCAUUUUCCAACUAAUCUUUCUUUUUUCUUAUUGAUUUAUAGAAAUUUUCUGCAUAUUUAAAGUACUAAUCUAAUAUGACUAAUUAGUUAUAUUCUUCGAAAAUAACUUCUCUCAAUCUGCGGCUCAUCCUUUCACCUUGCCUAUGAAAUAUUUUGCCAUAUAAAACUUACAUACUAAAUUUAUCAGGCAAAAACCUUUUCCUUUAUGAUUUGAGCUGUGUGGGUCUAGCCCACUGGUUUAUAGUGUCAACUCUUUCAUUUACCAAAUGUCUAUAUAUCCAUGACAAUAUUUCUGGUUCUCCGUUCUGUUGUAUUGGUCUGUUGUUUUAUUCCUAUGUCAAUUGCCUUACCACUUUAAUUACUGCCACCUUGUAGAAAGUCUUGAUACUUGCUAACGCAUAUGCCCCAAUCCGUGCUCUUAUAUUGUUUUUGCUAUUCCUGUCCUAUUAUUCUUCAAAUAAAGUUUAGGAUUGACUUGUAA
ensembl:lncRNA